CCAGGCAGUCGCGUCGACACUGGCCGGCCGGACUGCCCGCACACGCCCCCGCGGGCCGAGAGCCGGACCGAGGCCCGACCCCCCGCCCCCAGGGGUGGCGCGGCGCGCCGGCGGCCGGUCACGACGGCUGGCCGGGACCCGACCCGCGCUGCGACAGACACGCGCGCGCCAGAACGGGGCGCCGCGGGGGACGGUCCCCCGCCCGCACGCAACAUCGCCGUCGCCCGGGCGGCGGCGGCGGACACGGAGGAGGCCACAGCGGCCCCGGGAAGCGAGUCGCGCUCGGAGCGGGGCCCCGGUCGGGCAGCCAAGAACAGGCGACGACGGGGAAGGGCUCGCGAGAAGGCCGACGGCGGCGAAGGCCGAGGCGCCGGAGAGGCGGUGGUGGUGGAGGAAGGGCCGGCCCGCCGAGAGACGCGCUCGGGGCGAAGGAGGGAAGACAGAACCUCCCGAGGCAAGUCGGCCGCCGGAGCACACACGGGGUCUCACCGCCAGGGGCCUCCAGCACCAGGGGCGGUCCCGCAGCGCCCGGAACGGCGACUGGCCCCGUCGCCCCGCGCGCAGCUCACGGGGGCUCGGCCCCACCACCCACCUCCACGGCCAGGGCUCUCCCGCACACGGCGCCGGCGUCCCACGCCGGGCGCCUGGCGCACGGGCGCCACCCAACCGGAGCCGAGGGCACUUCGCCCGGGUCACCACCGGCCUCGGUGGCCGGAGGCGACACCCGCGCGGCGAGGCCCAUUUCGGCCCCGGCCGGUCCCCCACCUCCGGAGCGGGGCGCGGAAAGGGGAUCGGCGACGCGGAAGGCCCGACCACCGGGCCGCCCUCAGGACGACGGCCGGGCACGGGACGAGUUCCCUCGCCCGUUCCCCCGCGGCGGCCCCCCACCCCCUCCCGGGGACGGAGGGGCACCGGCGGCUGCUGGUCGACCCGUCCGGGAGGCCCCACACCCCGGCCGGCACCGG
rnacentral:lncRNA from 1 species